rnacentral:lncRNA from 1 species
CGAGAUUUUGCUUGGCAUGUGUAUGUAUGCAUGCCCUGAAUUUGCUUAGCAUUUUUAUGCAUACAACUAUUGGAAGCUUUUACAUGUCCUGGAACUGAGCUUUUGCAUGCCCUAUGUUUUCUGAAGCUGAGUCUUUUGUUAUUGGCUAGUACUUGAAACAGAGUCGCAGGCCUCCUGCCAUAUAACCAUUUAUGAAGUGCAUAUGUGAUGCCUUAUCUUGUAUUCCUACAAAGAGUCCAGUAUUUUUUUUCAUGUGUAAAAAGUGGCUGACCUGGCAUUACACUGUUAAGUAUUUUGUACACAUCAGGAAUCUUGUUGUAGAUACACACUAAGCUGAAAAUGUUGCUAGCAGAAAUAGGUUUUCUGUUAGCUACGCAUCUGGUUUAAAACAUGGUAUGACUAGUUGCUUUGGAAUAGUAACGCCUUGAUAUUAUCUGAUCCUAUCUCAUGCAUAUUUUAGUUAUUUCUAGACAAAGCUUUAGGAACCGAGUUCACUACAACUCGAAGUCUUGUGCAUGGAGGAGAAUUGAGAUAUUUGUGCAUUCUGUACUAGUCAAAAGGUAUGUGUAGAUAUUCUGCUCAUUCUAGUUCAUGCUGCUACUUUAUUAAGGUCUUCUUUUAUGAGCCUCUACCUUGUGCAAAUAAUAUGAUUAUUUAGUAGCCUGGUUUCAUAGCUUUGAAUCUCAUGUGAAUAAACUAUAUGUCUAGGUGUUUGCUGUUCUUUGCUUAACUAGAUAUCGAAGUAUAGACAACAAGCUCAUGUACAAGAUGGCAAUUAUGAUGGUUAUUUAGUUUAUUUCAUUGGUUCUCAGCAUAUUAAUUGAUUGUAACAUUCUAGCUUUAUUUAAUAAGAAGAUGUAAAAGAAACAACAAGUAAUCUCCAUUUUUUGUUCUACAAUAUAGAUAGUUUACCAAGCUUAUUAACUUAUAGCAGAUCUACCAUCUUCUCCUUUCAGGUUGGCAUCAUGGUUGGAAGAUCUUGUGUGCUACUCUCUACACGAUGUUUCUUCUACAUGAUAGCACUUGACGUCUACAUGAUAGUACUUGAAGUCUACAUGAUGUUUCUUGUAUUCAUAGCUCAAACCAUUUGUUUAGCUUAGUUUGAACAAAAAAUAUUAUUGUCUUACAUGUAAAUAAUGUUUACUAAUGUAGCUGGAUGCUACUGAACGCAUGUACGAAAGUCAAAAUACUAAGUGUUAGUCAUUAUGUGUUUGAGAACUGCCGUUGAAUCUUGAGUGAAUUCCUGUAUGAAUAGAAAUCAAAAGAAAUAUAAAUGCUACCAAAUUCCUGUAUGAAUAGAAAUCGAAAGCAACAUAUACACUACCAG